CAGUUUUAUUGUACUCCGUUGACAUUAUCAAAAAUAACUACUACAUACAAAUGGUACAUAUUUAGAUAUAAAAUUGUUCCAUUGUAUUUGUCCUAUUCGAAGAACACAUGGGAAACAAAGGCACGAUUGUCUUUCAUGGCCCUUCCAGUAUUUUAUUUUGCAUGUCGAGGAAAAAACCAACAUUACAAGUACAAUAAAUGAAUGUGAAUGCAUUUUUCCUGAAAGAGUAUUAACUGUCAAAUAUAUUAUAACUUUGGAGCAGAAAUAGUACUUUGUCUCAAAUGUUAAGUGCAUUAUUUCUUUUCAUCAAUAAAACAUUUGAAAACCUCACAAGCUCACAAUGUACAUCAAGG
rnacentral:misc_RNA from 1 species